ACUUAAAUAGCUUAUAUUAGAGCUUAAUAUUGAAGAUAUUAAAGAAGUAAAUUUUACUUUUAAGUA
rnacentral:tRNA from 1 species